UACGGGGGGAGCAAGCGUUGUUCGGAUUUACUGGGCGUAAAGGGCGCGUAGGCGGCCACCGCAAGUCGACUGUGAAAUCUCCGGGCUUAACCCGGAAAGGUCAGCCGAAACUGCGGGGCUAGAGUGCAGAAGGGGCAACUGGAAUCCUCGGUGUAGCGGUGAAAUGCGUAGAUAUCGAGAGGAACACCUGUGGCGAAAGCGGCGCACUGGACCACAACUGACGCUGAGGCGCGAAAGCUAGGGGAGCAAACAGG
rnacentral:rRNA from 1 species